rnacentral:miRNA from 15 species
ACCUGUUGCUACCUGAAAUUAAU